rnacentral:rRNA from 1 species
UACCGAGGUCCCAAGCGUUGUUCGGAUUCCCUGGGCGUAAAGGGUGCGUAGGUGGCAGGAUAAGUUUGAUGUGAAAUCUCCGGGCUUAACCCGGAAACUGCAUUUAAUACUAUUUUGCUCGAGGGUUGGAGGGGGGACUGGAAUUCUCGGUGUAGCAGUGAAAUGCGUAGAGAUCGAGAGGAACACCAGUGGCGAAGGCGAGUCCCUGGACAACUCCUGACACUGAGGCACGAAAGCUAGGGGAGCAAACAGG